GCGGGCGGCCGGACGGUCGCGACGGUUCGCCGCAAGGCGGGCUUUCGAGGAAAGUCCGGGCUCCCUGGACAGACUGCCAGGUAACUCCUGGGCGCGCGCGCCGCGAGGUUCGCGCGACGGACAGUGCCACAGAAAACAGACCGCCCAUGGGCGCGAGCCUGUGGGUAAGGGUGAAAAGGUGGGGUAAGAGCCCACCGCGUCACCGGUAACGGUGGCGGCACGGUAAACCCCAGUCGGAGCAAGGCCAAAUAGGCGGCGAGAGGCAGUCCUCCUCGAUCAAGACGCCGCGGGUCGGCUGCUGGAGGGUGCGGGUGACCGCACUCCGAGAGGAAUGACCGUCCGGACGAUUCGUCGUCCGACAGAACCCGGCUUACAGGCCGUCCGUAUGC
rnacentral:RNase_P_RNA from 1 species